AUGCAAGUCGAACGAGAGAUGAAGAGCUUGCUUUCAAAUCGAGUGGCGAACGGGUGGGUAACGCGUGAGGAACCUGCCUCAAAGAGGGGGACAACAGUUGGAAACGACUGCUAAUACCGCAUAAGCCCACGGCUCGGCAUCGAGCAGGGGGAAAAGGAGCAAUCCGCUUUGAGAUGGCCUCGCGUCCGAUUAGCUAGUUGGUGAGGUAACGGCCCACCAAGGCGACGAUCGGUAGCCGGACUGAGAGGUUGAACGGCCACAUUGGGACUGAGACACGGCCCAGACUCCUACGGGAGGCAGCAGUGGGGAAUAUUGCACAAUGGGGGAAACCCUGAUGCAGCGACGCCGCGUGGAGGAAGAAGGUCUUCGGAUUGUAAACUCCUGUUGUUGAGGAAGAUAAUGACGGUACUCAACAAGGAAGUGACGGCUAACUACGUGCCAGCAGCCGCGGUAAAACGUAGGUCACAAGCGUUGUCCGGAAUUACUGGGUGUAAAGGGAGCGCAGGCGGGAGAACAAGUUGGAAGUGAAAUCCAUGGGCUCAACCCAUGAACUGCUUUCAAAACUGUUUUUCUUGAGUAGUGCAGAGGUAGGCGGAAUUCCCGGUGUAGCGGUGGAAUGCGUAGAUAUCGGGAGGAACACCAGUGGCGAAGGCGGCCUACUGGGCACCAACUGACGCUGAGGCUCGAAAGUGUGGG
rnacentral:rRNA from 1 species